rnacentral:rRNA from 1 species
UACGGAGGGGGCUAGCGUUGUUCGGAAUUACUGGGCGUAAAGCGCGCGUAGGCGGCUUUGUAAGCUAGAGGUGAAAGCCCGGAGCUUAACUCCGGAACUGCCUUUAAGACUGCAUCGCUAGAAUUGUGGAGAGGUGAGUGGAAUUCCGAGUGUAGAGGUGAAAUUCGUAGAUAUUCGGAAGAACACCAGUGGCGAAGGCGACUCACUGGACACAUAUUGACGCUGAGGUGCGAAAGCGUGGGGAGCAAACAGG